rnacentral:tRNA from 1 species
UGGGAAGUCGUCCAAUGGUAGGACACAUGACUCUGGAUCAUGGAAUCUAGGUUCGAAUCCUAGCUUCCCAGCCA